ensembl:snoRNA U3 Small nucleolar RNA U3
AAGCCUAUACUUUCAGGGAUCAUUUCUAUAGUUUGUUACUAGAGAAGUUUCUCUAGUACCAGAAAUCAUGAGGAGGAGGUGCAGUGUUCUCUCCUGUGCAUGAAGCUGGCUUGGGUGCUGCUUUUAGGCAGCUGCCUUUGCCAUUGAUGAUCGUUCUGCUCUGCCUCUGGUAGAGUUAAAGGGAGAGAACACAGUCUGAGUGGU